rnacentral:rRNA from 1 species
CCUACGGGAGGCAGCAGUAGGGAAUCUUCCACAAUGGGCGAAAGCCUGAUGGAGCAACGCCGCGUGGGUGAAGAAGGUCUUCGGAUCGUUAAACCCUGUUGUUAGAGAAGAAAGUGCGUGAGAGUAACUGUUCACGUUUCGACGGUAUCUAACCAGAAAGCCACGGCUAACUACGUGCCAGCAGCCGCGGUAAGACGUAGGUGGCAAGCGUUAUCCGGAUUUAUUGGGCGUAAAGGGAACGCAGGCGGUCUUUUAAGUCUGAUGUGAAAGCCUUCGGCUUAACCGGAGUAGUGCAUUGGAAACUGGGAGACUUGAGUGCAGAAGAGGAGAGUGGAACUCCAUGUGUAGCGGUGAAAUGCGUAGAUAUAUGGAAGAACACCAGUGGCGAAAGCGGCUCUCUGGUCUGUAACUGACGCUGAGGUUCGAAAGCGUGGGUAGCAAACAGGAUUAGAUACCCUAGUAGUC